rnacentral:tRNA from 1 species
GGACUGUGGCUCAGUGGUAGAGCACUUGCCUCAUAUGUGCAAGGACCUGGGUUCGAUCCUCAGCACCA